ACACCCGGGUGACGUAAAUAGUUUUACUUCUAGAAUUCCAAUAUCAUUCAAAAAAAAUAACCACCCCUAGCCUCAAACAAAAAUACCCCACCGAACAAAAAACCCACACAAACGAAGAAACCCACCGGCGCCUCCCUCCCCCCUCCGGUGCUCUGCCAUAAAUUGGCAUCACCAUCCGGCGAACCAUCUCUAAUUAUCUUUUGCAGAGUUUUUAUAUUUGAUUUUAUAUAUGGAAUUUCGAUGAUUUGAUGUAUGGUUUCUUCAUUAUCUUAUGAUUUUCCAUAGGAGCAAAGCACCGGAGCUGGGGUGAUGAUCCACAAGAUCUAUUGAUGGGUUUCGUCUAUUGGCGUCGCUCGCCGCAAUCUACAACUCCAACAUAGAUGGAGCAACGACCAUCAUCGAUCGAGAAACCGCUAUCGUCACUAUUUCGGUAAAUUUUGCGGAAAAAAGGAAGAUGUGAUGCCGAUUGCGACUGUUUACGAACAUAUGUGUAUGUAUGUAUAGGUACCUGUCUGUAUAGGUCUGUAUAUGCGUUUGUUUUUUAAUUUGAAUUUUUAAUUUUUUGAGGUAAAAACUGUUUAUUAAAUUGUUUUUAUUUUAACAAGGAAGAGAUAUUCUUGAAAUUAGUUAUCCUAAAGGUCCAUUUGGUACAUACGAUGUAUUUCCUUUUUUCACAUAAACAACUUUUGUAAACACAUCUAUAUUCUAGGUUCUUCAAAAUUAAAUUAUGUGCUGUAUUUUUUGAGUUUGUUACAAUUACGUCAUAAGCAUCAUGACAGUUGUUGAAACUUUGAGGCAACUAUCAAGAGAUUAGUUUCUGACGUAUUGAGGUCCUUUAUACAUUGAAGAUCAUUUUUCUCGCUUCUAAUUUGCUUCGCAGAAACUUGAUGCAAGUAGAUGGAGGUAGACCAUACACCAUUAUACAUUAGGCUGUACAAAAUUGAUGAAAGUGAAGUAUUUUUCAGCAUCUACUUUCUCUGUAAUCUAUAUGCUUUUGUCGUGUUAAUCACUUCAUUUUUAGAGAAAAUAUGUUUUGCAGGGACCAACAUGGUAGACAAUGGUAAUUCAGAUUAGUUUUCCCUUGAUGUACUUUUUAACAACCUCACUAUUUUGAUCUCAGAGUAACCAUUUUUCUUCCCUAUUUCAACUACAAGUGACAAUGAGUGAGUUGAGGAUAUGUCAAAACGGUUGAACAUGUAGUAGUUGGAUUCCAAAUCAUAUUUUGUCUAAACUUUACAAACUUUUUGUAAACGAUAACAUCAUAUAAUUACAAGUUUUUGCAAAAGUGGUGUUAAUCACAAACCAAUUUUAACUAAAAUGAUUUACUAGGUAUUUGCAGCAAGGCGUUUAACCUGUUACCUUUUGAGCUUAUUUAAUUGUUUCUAUCUACUCAAAGAAUUAUGAUUGAUAAGUUGGGGUCGAAAAUACCGUGUUAUAUUUUCCAUGCACAAUGUCCACGACAUGCUAUUACAUGUUGGUACUCUUUGUUUAAGCUUAUUUACAAAUUCGUCCUUCUCUUGUGCUUUUAGUUCUCAGGUAUUUGGGGUAUUCGAUGAGUAGUUUGGGGGUCGGUACGUCAAUGGGUGACUGUGAGUGUGAAGGGGGAAUGAAAAAUUAUUGAAGGUGAAUACAAUUACUUCAAGAUCCAAGAUGUGAUGAUCACCUACAUUCAAAUUGGUUACUACUUACUACAGCUUUCUGUCCCCUCGAGAAUAGAGUUAGCCAAGAUAUAUUUGCUAAAUUACGUGUACAAAUUAGUUUUAUUGAUAUGUAUAACCUGUAGGUGCAUUCCAAAAAGGACCAAGAUUCUACUAAUAAAUUUCAAAUAUUUUUUUAGCUCCCAAGAAAGCGUGUUAUCAAUAUAUAGAACUUAAUAUGCAAAUGAUAAAAUUUUCACUUAA